GUGGGGAAUCUUGCGCAAUGGGCGAAAGCCUGACGCAGCCAUGCCGCGUGAAUGAUGAAGGUCUUAGGAUUGUAAAAUUCUUUCACCGGGGACGAUAAUGACGGUACCCGGAGAAGAAGCUCCGGCUAACUUCGUGCCAGCAGCCGCGGUAAUACGAAGGGGGCUAGCGUUGCUCGGAAUUACUGGGCGUAAAGGGCGCGUAGGCGGACAGCUUAGUCAGAGGUGAAAGCCCAGGGCUCAACCUUGGAAUUGCCUGUGAUACUGGCUGUCUUGAGUUUGGGAGAGGUGAGUGGAACUCCGAGUGUAGAGGUGAAAUUCGUAGAUAUUCGGAAGAACACCAGUGGCGAAGGCGACUCACUGGCCCAAUACUGACGCUGAGGCGCGAAAGCGUGGGGAGCAAACAGGAUUAGAUACCCGGGUAGUCC
rnacentral:rRNA from 1 species